rnacentral:miRNA from 1 species
UAUAUCAACCAAAAAAGCCGUCAUAGCGGACAAAUAACCACGGUGUCCUACCUUUUUUAUUGCAGAAAAAAAAUUGUUAUGAAGUUUUGAAUCUUUUUUGAAAGUUAUUUGAAAAUCGCCAGUGUAGUUUUCGAGAAACUGAAUUUCAGCCUUUCCAAAGGCUAAAAUGCGUCUUAAAGGCUGAAACUCAGUUUCUCGAAAACUACACUGACGAUUUUCAAAUAACUUAUAUAAGUUAUAAUAACAAAUAAAAAAUAUUCAAAACUUGAUAACAAUGUAUUUUCUGCAAUAAAAAGGUAGGUCACCGUGGUUAUUUGUCCGCUAUGACGGCUUUUUUGGUUGAUAUA